rnacentral:rRNA from 1 species
GGCAGCGUGGAUUAGGCGAUGCAAGUCGAACGGGAUCGCCUGGAUAGCAAGUAUCGGGGUGGAGAGUGGCGGAUGGGAGGAGCACGUGAGCAACCUGCCCUGGAGAUGUGGAAAACCUCUGGAAACGGAGGCUAAUACAGAAUGUGGCGCCCCAUGGCAUCAUGGGAGCGCCGAAGGGGGCCGCAAGGCUCCCGCUCCGGGAUGGGCUCGCGCACCAUCAGCUAGUUGGCGGGGUAACGGCCCACCAAGGCCUACGGUUAGCUGGUCUGAGAGGAUGACCAGCCCCCACUGGGACUGAGAUACUGCCCAGACUCCUACGGGAGGCUGCAGUCGAGGAUCAUUCGCAAUGGACGGAAGUCUGACGAUGCGACGCUGCGUGGAGGAUUGAAGGCCUUCGGGUCGUAAACUCCUGUCAUGAGGGAAGAGGCGAGGGAAGCUAAUACCUUCUUUAGCUGACUGUACCUCAAGAGGAAGCGACGGCUAACUCUGUGCCAGCCGCCGC